CACGGGGGGAGCAAGCGUUGUUCGGAAUCACUGGGCGUAAAGGGCGUGCAGGCGGUCAGGUAAGUGGGAUGUGAAAUGCCCCGGCUCACCCGGGGACCGGCAUCCCAUACUGCUUGGCUUGAGUACGGGAGAGGAUGUGGGAAUUCCUGGUGUAGCGGUGAAAUGCGUAGAUAUCAGGAGGAACACCGGUGGCGAAGGCGCACAUCUGGCCCGAUACUGACGCUGAGGCGCGAAAGCUAGGGGAGCAAACGGG
rnacentral:rRNA from 1 species